UAACUCCUGAGAUGUUCGAAAUGAUCCCUAUUAUUUUGAACCUACAUCAUUAUUUUGGGGGUUUGGGUUUUAAAUUAGAUGUCAAGCCUUAGUAUAAAGGAAGGCAGAAUAUUUAAACAGAACACCCACCUAGUCAAGGCUAGGCACUCAAAAUAUAGGGGACGGCAUUUUGGGCUAUCC
rnacentral:other from 1 species